rnacentral:rRNA from 1 species
GACGAACGCUGGCGGCGUGCUUAACACAUGCAAGUCGAACGGAAAGGCCCUGCUGUUGUUUGGUACUCGAGUGGCGAACGGGUGAGUAACACGGGAUUAACCUGCCGUUGCCUUUGGGAUAACUUCGGGUAACUGGGGCUAAUACUGGCUAGUAGCGCCUGCUGCAUGUUGGUGGUUGGAAAGUUUCGGCGAGUUGGGAUGGACUCGCGGCUUAUCAGCAUGGUGGUGGGGUAGUUGCUUAGCCAGGCAUUGGCGGGUAGCCGGACUGAGAGGGUGACCGGCCCCAUUGGGAUACGGAAAGCGCCCAGACGCCUUCGGGAGGAAGGAGUGGGGGAUAGUGCAAGAUGGGCGGAAGCCUGAUGCAGCAACGCCGCGUGCGAGAUGACGGCCGUCGGGGUGUAAAGCGCGUGCGCCUGUGAAGAAGCGUGAGUGACGGUAAUGGGUAAAGAAGCACCGGCUAACUACGUG